rnacentral:rRNA from 1 species
GAUGAACGCUAGCGGCAGGCUUAAUACAUGCAAGUCAAGGGGCCAGCAAUGGCACCGGCGGACGGGUGAGUAACGCGUACACAACGUACCUUUAACUGGGGGAUAGCAUCUGGAAACGGGUGGUAAUACCGCAUGUGGUUGCGGGGAGGCAUCUCCUUGUAACUAAAACUUUGGUGGUUAGAGAUCGGUGUGCGUCUGAUUAGCUAGUUGGUAGGGUAGAGGCCUACCAAGGCGACGAUCAGUAGGGGGCGUGAGAGCGUGAACCCCCACACGGGUACUGAGACACGGACCCGACUCCUACGGGAGGCAGCAGUAAGGAAUAUUGGUCAAUGGAGGGAACUCUGAACCAGCCAUGCCGCGUGAAGGAAGAAGGCGCUACGCGUUGUAAACUUCUUUGGGUGGGACGAAAAUAAUCCAUUUAUGGAUAGCUGACGGUACCAUCAGAAUAAGCACCGGCUAACUCCGUGCCAGCAGCCGCGGUAAU